GUUAGUAGAUUUUAGUUGAUUGUAGAAUAUAAUUUGAUUAUUACCUUGAGAAGACAUUGUUUAAAAAGAUUACUAUAGAAUUUGUAUAACUUUAAUUUCUUUUUUGAUGGUGGCUUUUAAGUUUGGUUUUGGUUGAUAGUAACUUCUAAAUAUUUAGAACCACCUUUGUUAGACAUUGGUGACAUUUGAAAACUUAUUUUGGUUCUUUUAUUUAGUGUUUAGAAUAUAAGUCAUAUAAAUCUUAUAAAAAAAAAGAUUGAAGAAGUAUUUUGGUAGAAAAGGGAGUAAUUAAAGCACCAAUAUAGAUGAAUGGAGAUGAAUGAUGAAAAUCUCCAUUAAUAUUGGUCAAAAAUCAUGACCAAUGGGCUUUGAGGAGACUGCCCGAGGCCAUAUUAGAGAUUAGGAUUAGUUUUUUGAAGCCAUUUGAGCUUUGAAGGCUUGGGUCAGCAAGUUUAGGUUUUUGGCUAUGGUUUUGGUGCAAAACUUGUAUG
rnacentral:lncRNA from 1 species